GAGUAACGCGUGGGUAACCUACCCUUGAAUCCGGGAUAACUCUUCGAAAGGGGAGUUAAUACCGAAUAACAUUACAAUUCCUUCGGGAGUUGGAAUCAAAGAUGGCCUCUGCAUGCAAGCUAUCGUUUAAGGAUGGGCCCGCGUACCAUUAGCUAGUUGGCAGGGUAAUGGCCUACCAAGGCAACGAUGGUUAGCUGGUCUGAGAGGAUGGCCAGCCACACUGGAACUGAGACACGGUCCAGACUCCUAUGGGAGGCAGCAGUGGGGAAUCUUGCGCAAUGGGGGAAACCUUGACGCAGCAACGCCGCGUGGGUGAUGAAGGCCUUCGGGUCGUAAAGCCCUGUCAGGUGGGAAGAAACUUGUGGAUGUCAAUACCAUCCACACUUGACGGUACCACCGGAGGAAGCACCGGCUAACUCCGUGCCAGCAGCCGCGGUAAUACGGAGGGUGCAAGCGUUGUUCGGAAUUAUUGGGCGUAAAGCGCGUGUAGGUGGUUGAGCAAGUCAGAUGUGAAAGCCUUCUGCUUAACAGAAGAAGUGCAUUUGAAACUGCUCAGCUAGAGUACGGGAGAGGAGAGUGGAAUUCCCGGUGUAGAGGUGAAAUUCGUAGAUAUCGGGAGGAACACCAGUGGCGAAGGCGGCUCUCUGGUCCGAUACUGACGCUGAGACGCGAAAGCGUGGGGACAAACAGGAUUAGAUACCCUGGUAGUCCACGCCGUAAACGAUGGGCACUAGGUGUAGGAGGUAUUGACCCCUUCUGUGCCGAAGCUAACGCAUUAAGUGCCCCGCCUGGGGAGUACGGCCGCAAGGCUAAAACUCAAAGGAAUUGACGGGGGCCCGCACAACGGUGGAGCAUGUGGUUCGAUUCGACGCAACGCGAAGAACCUUACCUGGGCUUGACAUCCGCUGACCGUCCCGGAAACGGGAUCUUCCCCGCAAGGGGACAGCGAGACAGGUGCUGCAUGGCUGUCGUCAGCUCGUGUCGUGAGAUGUUGGGUUAAGUCCCGCAACGAGCGCAACCCUCAUCCUUAGUUGCCAUCAUUGAGUUGGGAACUCUAAGGAAACUGCCUCGGUUAACGGGGAGGAAGGUGGGGAUGACGUCAAGUCCUCAUGGCCUUUAUGUCCAGGGCUACACACGUGCUACAAUGGGCGGUAUAAAGGGUUGCAAUCCCGCGAGGAGGAGCUAAUCUCAAAAAGCCGCUCUCAGUUCAGAUUGGAGUC
rnacentral:rRNA from 1 species